rnacentral:rRNA from 1 species
UUGACGAGAUGAUUACUAGUGUUGGAGGGUUUCCGCCCUUCAGUGCUGCAGCUAACGCAUUAAGUAAUCCGCCUGGGGAGUACGACCGCAAGGUUGAAACUCAAAAGAAUUGACGGGGGCCCGCACAAGCGGUGGAGCAUGUGGUUUAAUUCGAAGCUACGCGAAGAACCUUACCAGGUCUUGACAUCUUCUGCCAACCUAAGAGAUUAGGCGUUCCCUUCGGGGACAGAAUGACAGGUGGUGCAUGGUUGUCGUCAGCUCGUGUCGUGAGAUGUUGGGUUAAGUCCCGCAACGAGCGCAACCCUUAUUACUAGUUGCCAGCAUUCAGUUGGGCACUCUAGUGAGACUGCCGGUGACAAACCGGAGGAAGGUGGGGACGACGUCAAAUCAUCAUGCCCCUUAUGACCUGGGCUACACACGUGCUACAAUGGAUGGUACAACGAGUUGCGAAACCGCGAGGUUUAGCUAAUCUCUUAAAACCAUUCUCAGUUCGGACUGUAGGCUGCAACUCGCCUACACGAAGUCGGAAUCGCUAGUAAUCGCGGAUCAGCAUGCCGCGGUGAAUACGUUCCCGGGCCUUGUACACACCGCCCGUCACACCAUGAGAGUUUGUAACACCCAAAGCCGGUGGGGUAACCUUUUAGGAGCUAGCCGUCUAAGGUGGGACAGAUGAUUAGGGUGAAGUCGUCAAAGGGGGAUACCCAAGGAAAUUAGUGACCCCCCCCCCCGAGGGGAA